AGAGGGAGACGGCUGGAGCCCGAGGACGAGCGCGGAGCGGCGGGCCGAGCGGGGGGCGGGAGACAGGAAGGAGGGAGGCGAGCGGAGGGAAGGGGAAGAGGUCGGGGAGCGAGGGCGGGAGCGGUCGAGGUCGCGAUCAAGCGAGCGAGCGGGCGAGGGGACGCCCUCCCCUGGCCUCCAGUGCCCCGCUUCCCUCGCCGCCGCCCCGCCAGCAUGCCCGGCGUGGCCCGCCUGCCGCUGCUGCUCGGGCUGCUGCUGCUCCCGCGUCCCGGCCGGCCGCUGGACUUGGCCGACUACACCUAUGACCUGGCGGAGGAGGACGACUCGGAGCCCCUCAACUACAAAGACCCCUGCAAGGCGGCUGCCUUUCUUGGGGACAUUGCCCUGGACGAAGAGGACCUGAGGGCCUUCCAGGUACAGCAGGCUGCGGAUCUUAGACAGCACUCCACUCGUAAGUCCUCCAUCAAAGGUGCAGUUCCAGGAAACACUUCUACCCCCAGCUGCCAGAGCACCAACGGGCAGCCUCAGAGGGGAGCCUGUGGGAGAUGGAGAGGCAGAUCCCGGAGCCGGCGGGCAGCAACCUCCCGACCAGAGCGUGUGUGGCCCGAUGGGGUCAUCCCCUUUGUCAUUGGGGGAAACUUCACUGGUAGCCAGAGGGCAGUCUUCCGGCAGGCCAUGAGGCACUGGGAGAAGCAUACCUGUGUCACCUUUCUGGAGCGCACGGACGAGGACAGCUAUAUUGUGUUCACCUAUCGACCUUGCGGGUGCUGCUCCUACGUGGGUCGCCGCGGCGGGGGCCCCCAGGCCAUCUCCAUCGGCAAGAACUGUGACAAGUUCGGCAUCGUGGUCCACGAGCUGGGCCACGUCGUCGGCUUCUGGCACGAACACACUCGGCCAGACCGGGACCGCCACGUUUCCAUCGUUCGUGAGAACAUCCAGCCAGGGCAGGAGUAUAACUUCCUGAAGAUGGAGCCUCAGGAGGUGGAGUCCCUGGGGGAGACCUAUGACUUUGACAGCAUCAUGCAUUAUGCUCGGAACACGUUCUCCAGGGGCAUCUUCCUGGAUACCAUUGUCCCCAAGUAUGAGGUGAACGGGGUGAAACCUCCCAUUGGCCAAAGGACACGGCUCAGCAAGGGGGACAUUGCCCAAGCCCGCAAGCUUUACAAGUGCCCAGCCUGCGGAGAGACCCUGCAAGACAGCACGGGCAACUUCUCCUCCCCUGAAUACCCCAACGGCUACUCUGCUCACAUGCACUGCGUGUGGCGCAUCUCCGUCACACCCGGGGAGAAGAUCAUCCUGAACUUCACAUCCCUGGACCUGUACCGCAGCCGCCUGUGCUGGUACGACUACGUGGAGGUCCGAGAUGGCUUUUGGAGGAAGGCACCCCUCCGAGGCCGCUUCUGCGGGUCCAAACUCCCUGAGCCCAUCGUCUCCACUGACAGCCGCCUCUGGGUUGAAUUCCGCAGCAGCAGCAAUUGGGUCGGAAAGGGCUUCUUUGCAGUCUACGAAGCCAUCUGCGGGGGUGAUGUGAAAAAGGACUAUGGCCACAUUCAAUCACCCAACUACCCAGAUGAUUACCGGCCCAGCAAAGUCUGCAUCUGGCGGAUCCAGGUGUCUGAGGGCUUCCACGUGGGCCUCACAUUCCAGUCCUUUGAGAUUGAGCGCCACGACAGCUGUGCCUACGACUAUCUGGAGGUGCGUGACGGGCACAGUGAGAGCAGCACCCUCAUCGGGCGCUACUGUGGCUACGAGAAGCCCGAUGACAUCAAGAGCACAUCCAGCCGCCUCUGGCUCAAGUUCGUCUCUGACGGGUCCAUUAACAAAGCGGGCUUUGCCGUCAACUUUUUCAAAGAGGUGGACGAGUGCUCUCGGCCCAACCGCGGGGGCUGUGAGCAGCGGUGCCUCAACACCCUGGGUAGCUACAAGUGCAGCUGUGACCCCGGGUACGAGCUGGCCCCAGACAAGCGCCGCUGUGAGGCUGCCUGUGGCGGAUUCCUCACCAAGCUCAACGGCUCCAUCACCAGCCCAGGCUGGCCCAAGGAGUACCCCCCCAACAAGAACUGCAUCUGGCAGCUAGUGGCCCCCACCCAGUACCGCAUCUCCCUGCAGUUUGACUUCUUCGAGACAGAGGGCAAUGAUGUGUGCAAGUAUGACUUUGUGGAGGUGCGCAGUGGACUCACAGCCGACUCCAAGCUGCAUGGCAAGUUCUGUGGUUCUGAGAAGCCUGAGGUCAUCACCUCCCAGUACAACAACAUGCGCGUGGAGUUCAAGUCCGACAACACCGUGUCCAAAAAGGGCUUCAAGGCCCACUUCUUCUCAGAAAAGAGGCCAGCUCUGCAGCCCCCUCGGGGACGCCCCCACCAGCUCAAAUUCCGAGUGCAGAAAAGAAACCGGACCCCCCAGUGAGGCCUGCCAGGCCUCCCGGACCCCUUGUUACUCAGGAACCUCACCUUGGACGGAAUGGGAUGGGGGCUUCGGUGCCCGCCCACCCCCCGCCUCCACUCUGCCAUUCCGGCCCACCUCCCUCUGGCCGGACAGAACUGGUGCUCUCUUCUCCCCACUGUGCCCGUCCGCGGACCGGGGAACCUUCCCCGUGCCCUACCCCCUCCCAUUUUGAUGGUGUCUGUGACAUUUCCUGUUGUGAAGUAAAAGAGGGACCCCUGCGUCCUGCUCCUUUCUCUUGCAGUCUGCUUGUCCAUGUGUCUGUUUUUCCACUUGUCCAUCUGUCCAGUAAGCAGGUAAUGGUGACCCAUGCUGGUCCGCUCGGACCCCCGUCCUCCUCUCCCCACAGCUGGGCCCCGCUCAGCUGGUCCUGCUGGACGCAGUGCCCCUUUGGACCCCCUUGUCGCCUGGCCUCCCACUCCCCACCACCUGGCCUGGCCAGCUCUGGCCGGCUGUUGCUCUGUCCCGGUGGGAGAAAGCCCAGCCAGGCCUCCACUUCCCCUGGGGCGUCCAGACCUCAGCUCUGCACAGACCCAGCGUCUGCCCUUAUUUGCUCCCCUGCAGACAAGGACGAGUGCUCCAAGGAUAACGGCGGCUGCCAGCAGGACUGCGUCAACACAUUCGGCAGUUAUGAGUGCCAGUGCCGCAGUGGCUUCGUCCUCCAUGACAACAAGCACGACUGCAAAGAAGCCGGCUGUGACCACAAGGUGACAUCCACCAGUGGUACCAUCACCAGCCCCAACUGGCCUGACAAGUAUCCCAGCAAGAAGGAGUGCACGUGGGCCAUCUCCAGCACCCCCGGGCACCGGGUCAAGCUGACCUUCAUGGAGAUGGACAUCGAGUCCCAGCCUGAGUGUGCCUAUGACCACCUGGAGGUGUUCGACGGGCGAGACGCCAAGGCCCCUGUCCUCGGCCGCUUCUGUGGGAGCAAGAAGCCUGAGCCCGUCCUGGCCACAGGGAACCGCAUGUUCCUGCGCUUCUACUCAGAUAACUCGGUCCAGCGAAAGGGCUUCCAGGCUUCCCACGCCACAGAGUGCGGGGGCCAGGUACGGGCAGAUGUGAAGACCAAGGACCUUUACUCCCACGCCCAGUUUGGCGACAACAACUACCCUGGGGGUGUGGACUGUGAGUGGGUCAUUGUGGCCGAGGAAGGCUACGGCGUGGAGCUCGUGUUCCAGACCUUUGAGGUGGAGGAGGAGACUGACUGCGGCUACGACUACAUGGAGCUCUUCGACGGCUACGACAGCACAGCCCCCAGGCUGGGGCGCUACUGUGGCUCAGGGCCUCCUGAGGAGGUGUACUCGGCGGGAGAUUCUGUCCUGGUGAAGUUCCACUCAGAUGACACCAUCACCAAAAAAGGUUUCCACCUGCGAUACACCAGCACCAAGUUCCAGGACACACUCCACAGCAGGAAGUGACCACUGCCUGAACAGGGGCGGGGACCGGAGCCUGCUGCCCUUGGUCACCUAGACUGGACAGUGGGGGUGGGCGGAAGGCGACGCACCAUGCCUCUCCCCCAGGCCCCAGGACCUGCAGGGCCAAUGGCCCGGUGAGACUGUCCAUAGGAGGUGGGGGGAACUGGACUCCGGCGUAAGCCACUUCCCCACAACCCCUCAACCAGCAAGCGGCCGGGGCUGGGGAGCAGAGCUUCCCCAAGACAUUUCAAAGUCACCAUUCCUCUCUUCGGGGGCCCUGCCUGGUGGCAAGAAGGAAUGUCAGCAGGACCCCGUUGCCGUCCCUGUGUCUACACGCUGUAUUGUGUAUCGCCGGGGGCAUUAUCUUCAUUGUAAUGUUCAUUUCCCACCCCUGCUCCAGCCUCGAUUUGGUUUUAUUUUGAGCCCCCACUACACCCCCCCGUUUCCUGGGGCACAAGUGUCUGUGUGUCUCCCCCAGGAGCCGCUGUGGGAAGCUGAUGGGGAGGGGAUGGAGAAACAAGACAGGGCUUCUCUCAGGCCCAGUGGCCGGUCAGCCACACCAGGGCACCACAGCCAAUAAACCGAAAGUGUUACAGCCAA